rnacentral:tRNA from 1 species
GCCGCCUUAGCUCAGUCGGUUAGAGCGCUAGAUUGUGGAUCUAGAGGUNCCCCGUUCAAACCGGGGAGGCGGUACCA